rnacentral:misc_RNA from 1 species
AACGCACGAGACCUGCGGACCUGCGGAGGGAUCAUUAGUGAACGCCCUCACGGGCUUAUAACUAUUCCAAACCUCUGUGAACCGUGCCCUUCGGGGCUAUUUUACAAACAUAGUGUAAUGAACGUCAUAUAUCAUAACAAAACAAAACUUUCAGCAAUGGAUCUCU